rnacentral:rRNA from 1 species
GAUAAACGCUGGCGGCGUGCUUAACGCAUGCAAGUUGAACGGGAGAGCCCUUUCGGGGGCGAUUUAGUAGCGAACGGGUGAGUAACACGUGGAUAACCUGACCUUACUUGGGGGAUAACGAUGAGAAAUCAUCGCUAAUACCGCGUAAGCUUGAAGAGCCGCAUGGCGAAUCAAGGAUAGGAGAAAUCCGGGUAAGGAGGGGUCCGCGGCUGAUUAGCCAGUUGGCAGGGUAACGGCCUACCAAAGCGACGAUCAGUAGCCGGUCUGAGAGGAUGUACGGCCACAUUGGGACUGAGACACGGCCCAAACUCCUACGGGAGGCAGCAGUGGGGAAUAUUGCACAAUGGGCGGAAGCCUGAUGCAGCAACGCCGCGUGAAGGAUGAAGGUUUUCGGAUUGUAAACUUCUAUCAAUGGGGACGAAGGAAGUGACGGUACCCAAAUAAGAAGCCCCGGCUAACUACGUGCCAGCAGCCGCGGUAAUACGUAGGGGGCAAGCGUUAUCCGGAAUUACUGGGCGUAAAGGGUGAGUAGGCGGUUGUACAAGUCACAUGUGGAAAUCCGGCGCUUAACGGCGGACUUGCAUGAGAAACUGUACGGCUUGAGUGCGGGAGAGGUAAGCGGAAUUCCUAGUGUAGCGGUGAAAUGCGUAGAUAUUAGGAAGAACACCAGUGGCGAAGGCGGCUUACUGGACCGCGACUGACGCUGAGUCACGAAAGCGUGGGGAGCAAACAGGAUUAGAUACCCUGGUAGUCCACGCUGUAAACGAUGAGCGCUAGGUGUCGGGGCGAGAGUUUCGGUGCCGGAGCAAACGCAAUAAGCGCUCCGCCUGGGGAGUAUGUACGCAAGUAUGAAACUCAAAGGAAUUGACGGGGGCCCGCACAAGCGGUGGAGCAUGUGGUUUAAUUCGAUGCAACGCGAAGAACCUUACCAAGAUUUGACAUCCCUCUGAAUGAAUUGGAGACAGUUCAGCCCUUCGGGGCGGAGGAGACAGGUGGUGCAUGGUUGUCGUCAGCUCGUGUCGUGAGAUGUUGGGUUAAGUCCCGCAACGAGCGCAACCCUUAUCCUUAGUAGCCAGCGGGAGAGCCGGGCACUCUAGGGAGACUGCCGUGGAUAACACGGAGGAAGGCGGGGAUGAGGUCAAAUCAUCAUGCCCUUUAUGUCUUGGGCAACACACGUGCUACAAUGGCUGCAACAAAGUGAGGCAAGUACGCGAGUACGAGCAAAACACAAAAAAGCAGUCUCAGUUCGGAUUGCAGUCUGCAACUCGACUGCAUGAAGCUGGAAUCGCUAGUAAUCGCGGAUCAGCAUGUCGCGGUGAAUACGUUCCCGGGCCUUGUACACACCGCCCGUCACACCAUGGGAAUCGGAAGCGCCCGAAGUCCGCGGCCUAACCCGAAAGGGAGGGAGCGGCCGAAGGUGAAGUCGGUGACUAGGGUG